rnacentral:tmRNA from 1 species
GGGGCUGAUUCUGGAUUCGACGGGAUUUGCGAAACCCAAGGUGCAUGCCGAGGGGCGGUUGGCCUCGUAAAAAGCCGCAAAAAAUAGUCGCAAACGACGAAAACUACGCUUUAGCAGCUUAAUAACCUGCUUAGAGCCCUCUCUCCCCAGCCUCCGCUCUUAGGACGGGGAUCAAGAGAGGUCAAACCCAAAAGAGAUCGCGUGGAAGCCCUGCCUGGGGUUGAAGCGUUAAAACUUAAUCAGGCUAGUUUGUUAGUGGCGUGUCCGUCCGCAGCUGGCAAGCGAAUGUAAAGACUGACUAAGCAUGUAGUACCGAGGAUGUAGGAAUUUCGGACGCGGGUUCAACUCCCGCCAGCUCCACCA